rnacentral:rRNA from 1 species
AAGCGAACCCGGGGAAUUGAAACAUCUAAGUACCCGGAGGAAAGGACAUCAAUUGAUACUCCCCUAGUAGCGGCGAGCGAACGGGGACCAGGCCUGGUCUGAAAUAAAGCAAAGCAUCUGGAAAGUUGCGCCAUAGUGGGUGAUAGCCCCGUAGCUGUAAAAUGAAGACCUUUUUGAGUAGGGCGGGACACGUGAAAUCCUGUCUGAACAUGGGGGGACCACCCUCCAAGCCUAAGUACUCCUUACCGACCGAUAGUGAACUAGUACCGUGAGGGAAAGAUGAAAAGUACCCCGAUGAGGGGAGUGAAACAGUACCUGAAACCGGAUGCUUACAAGCUGAGGGAGCUCUUCGGAGUGACCUCGUACCUUUUGUAUAAUGGGUCAACGACUUAGUGUUGUAUGCAAGCUUAAGCCGAUAGGUGUAGGCGCAGCGAAAGCGAGUCUGAAUAGGGCGCUAUAGUUAGUAGUGGUAGACGCGAAACCGUGUGAUCUACCCAUGGGCAGGGUGAAGCUGUGGUAACACAUAGUGGAGGCCCGAACCGGUUGACGUUGAAAAGUCUUCGGAUGACCUGUGGGUAGGGGUGAAAGGCCAAUCAAACUCGGAAAUAGCUCGUACUCCCCGAAAUGCAUUUAGGUGCAGCGUUGGUUUAGUUUUAUAGAGGUAGAGCUACUGAUUGGAUGCGGGGGCUUCACCGCCUACCAAUUCCUGACAAACUCCGAAUGCUAUAAAAUGAUGAUCAGCAGUGAGGGCAUGGGUGCUAAGGUCCAUGUCCGAGAGGGAAAGAACCCAGACCAUCAGCUAAGGUCCCCAAAUGUAUGUUAAGUUGAAUAAACGAGGUUGAACUGCUUAGACAGCUAGGAUGUUGGCUUGGAAGCAGCCAUUCAUUUAAAGAGUGCGUAACAGCUCACUAGUCGAGCGGUUCGGCAUGGAUAAUAAUCGGGCAUAAACAUAUUACCGAAGCUAUGGAUUUGUAUUAUAUACAAGUGGUAGGGGAGCAUUGUAACAGGGUAGAAGGUGUACUGUAAGGUAUGCUGGACUGGUUACAAAAGAAAAUG